CGCACACCACGCUCUACAGACCUCUGCCUGCAUAACAGCACACCAUGUGGCAGACAUGAGGCAGACAAAGCCAUCAUCACAUACUCAGGACCUCAAAAUUGAGGAGAACGUAACAUGAAGAUCCAGUUGACCACCUUCCUAAUUCUCUGCUAAUCUCACACUUGUGUGAAACUGCUGUUGACGAGGUGAGACCCUUCGUGAAGAUGAGUCAUGCAGAGGACCUUUAGCUUAAACAAAAAUGACAUCACUUCAGCAAGGUCUAACAUAAAUUCUUUGAUAGAAUAUAGAUUCAGAAAGAAAAGUAAUUCCUGCUGCUGUCAUAAAACAUUGCUUUUUUUCAAAUGUCAGUGAUAUGGCAUAGAGCAAUUGCUGGCACCAUCUGCUGGUUAAGGCACUGAAGUGAUGAAACAGGGAGAUUUUUAUUUUCUUAGACUCUCAAAAGAAAAAGUUAAAAGUAUGUGAUCACGUCAAGGGUUAAGGCUGGACUGAAAAAAUGUUAGAUGCUCUGUUUUGACCCUACUCCUUUCCCAGAAAGGGAAAAGAAAGAGAAUAAGGGAGAAACAAAGAAGUUGGAAAAAGACACUAAGCCAGCUUUAAUGCAGUGGUAACAAUCAAAAUACAAGAUAAUCAUAUUAUAAAAAGAAUGAAUUGUACACUAAUACAUACAAAGCCAGUAUCGAGCUCUCCCAGAGUCCAGGCUGGACUCAGCAGCAGAUGGGAACUAGACUCUGAUACAGGAUCCAGGAACUCAUGGACUGGGAUUGAAGGCAGAAGAACAAAGACCUCCUCAGACACUGGCCACAGAAGAAGAGGGCUUAACCCUUGUGAUCCCUCAACUUUAUAGUCAGUAAUAGGUAUAGA